UUGCAAACUGGAGAUGGCGACCGGCGCACGGGUGAGUAACACGCUAUCCNACCUGCCGAUAACUCGGGGAUAGCCUUUCGAAAGAAAGAUUAAUACCCGAUGGUAUAAUCANACCGCAUGGUCUUGUUAUUAAAGAAUUUCGGUUAUCGAUGGGGAUGCGUUCCAUUAGGCAGUUGGUGAGGUAACGGCUCACCAAACCUUCGAUGGAUAGGGGUUCUGAGAGGAAGGUCCCCCACAUUGGAACUGAGACACGGUCCAAACUCCUACGGGAGGCAGCAGUGAGGAAUAUUGGUCAAUGGGCGCAGGCCUGAACCAGCCAAGUAGCGUGAAGGAUGACUGCCCUAUGGGUUGUAAACUUCUUUUAUAUGGGAAUAAAGUUUUCCACGUGUGGAAUUUUGUAUGUACCAUAUGAAUAAGGAUCGGCUAACUCCGUGCCAGCAGCCGCGGUAAUACGGAGGAUCCGAGCGUUAUCCGGAUUUAUUGGGUUUAAAGGGAGCGUAGGUGGACAGUUAAGUCAGUUGUGAAAGUUUGCGGCUCAACCGUAAAAUUGCAGUUGAUACUGGCUGUCUUGAGUACAGUAGAGGUGGGCGGAAUUCGUGGUGUAGCGGUGAAAUGCUUAGAUAUCACGAAGAACUCCGAUUGCGAAGGCAGCUCACUGGACUGCAACUGACACUGAUGCUCGAAAGUGUGGGUAUCAAACAGGAUUAGAUACCCUGGUAGUCCACACAGUAAACGAUGAAUACUCGCUGUUUGCGAUAUACAGUAAGCGGCCAAGCGAAAGCAUUAAGUAUUCCACCUGGGGAGUACGCCGGCAACGGUGAAAACUCAAAGGAAUUGACGGGGGCCCGCACAAGCGGAGGAACAUGUGGNUUUAAUUCGAUGAUACGCGAGGAACCCUUACCCCGGGCUUAAAUUGCAUUUGAAUAUAUUGGAAACAGUAUAGCCGUAAGGCAAAUGUGAAGGUGCUGCAUGGUUUGUCGUCAGCUCGUGCCGUGAGGUGUCGGCUUUAAGUGCCAUAACGAGCGCAACCCUUAUCUUUAGUUACUAACAGGUCAUGCUGAGGACUCUAGAGAGACUGCCGUCGUAAGAUGUGAGGAAGGUGGGGAUGACGUCAAAUCAGCACGGCCCUUACGUCCGGGGCUACACACGUGUUACAAUGGGGGGUACAGAAGGCAGCUACCUGGUGACAGGAUGCUAAUCCCAAAAGCCUCUCUCAGUUCGGAUCGAAGUCUGCAACCCGACUUCGUGAAGCUGGAUUCGCUAGUAAUCGCGCAUCAGCCAUGGCGCGGUGAAUACGUUCCCGGGCCUUGUACACACCGCCCGUCAAGCCAUGAAAGCCGGGGGUACCUGAAGUACGAACCGCAAGGAGCUCCUAGG
rnacentral:rRNA from 2 species